GAUGAACGCUGGCGGCGUGCCUAACACAUGCAAGUCGAACGAAGCACAUUGGAUUGAUUCUUCGGAAGAAAGAGAAUGUGACUGAGUGGCGGACGGGUGAGUAACGCGUGGGUAACCUGCCUCAUACAGGGGGAUAACAGUUAGAAAUGACUGCUAAUACCGCAUAAGACCACAGUACCGCAUGGUAUAGUGGUAAAAACUCCGGUGGUAUGAGAUGGGCCCCGCGUCUGAUUAGGUAGUUGGUGGGGUAACGGCCUACCAAGCCGACGAUCAGUAGCCGACCUGAGAGGGUGACCGGCCACAUUGGGACUGAGACACGGGCCCAAACUCCUACGGGAGGCAGCAGUGGGGAAUAUUGCACAAUGGGGGAAACCCUGAUGCAGCGACGCCGCGUGAAGGAUGAAGUAUUUCGGG
rnacentral:rRNA from 1 species